rnacentral:rRNA from 1 species
GUGUGGUGGAAAGUUUUUCGGUGUGGGAUGGGCCCGCGGCCUAUCAGCUUGUUGGUGGGGUAAUGGCCUACCAAGGCGGCGACGGGUAGCCGGCCUGAGAGGGUGGACGGCCACAUUGGGACUGAGACACGGCCCAGACUCCUAGCGGGAGGCAGCAGUGGGGAAUAUUGCACAAAAGGCGGAAGCCUGAUGCAGCGACGCCGCGUGGGGGAUUAUAGGGUUCGGGUUGUAAACUCCUUUCACCAUCGACGAAGG